rnacentral:rRNA from 1 species
GAUGAACGCUAGCGGCAGGCCUAAUACAUGCAAGUCGGACGGGAUUGAGAAGCCUGCUUUUCAUGAGAGUGGCGCACGGGUGCGUAACACGUAUGUAACCUACCUUAAUCAGGGGGAUAGCCUCUCGAAAGAGAGAUUAACACCGCAUAAAAUCAAUUUAUGGCAUCAUAGAAUGAUCAAAUAUUUAUAGGAUUAAGAUGGGCAUGCGGAACAUUAGCUAGUUGGUAAGGUAACGGCUUACCAAGGCUACGAUGUUUAGGGGAUCUGAGAGGAUGACCCCCCACACUGGUACUGAGACACGGACCAGAAGCCUACGGGAGGCAGCAGUAAGAAAUAUUGGUCAAUGGGGGCAAGCCUGAACCAGCCAUGCCGCGUGCAGGAAGACGGCCCUACGGGUUGCAAACUGCUUUUGUACCGGAAUAAACCUUUGUAUGUAUACGAAGCUGAAUGUACGGUAAGAAUAAGGAUCGGCUAACUCCGUGCCAGCAGCCGCCGUAA